AUUGAACGCUGGUGGCAGGCCUAACACAUGCAAGUCGAGCGGAUGAAGGGAGCUUGCUCCUGGAUUCAGCGGCGGACGGGUGAGUAAUGCCUAGGAAUCUGCCUGGUAGUGGGGGAUAACGUCCGGAAACGGGCGCUAAUACCGCAUACGUCCUGAGGGAGAAAGUGGGGGAUCUUCGGACCUCACGCUAUCAGAUGAGCCUAGGUCGGAUUAGCUAGUUGGUGGGGUAAAGGCCUACCAAGGCGACGAUCCGUAACUGGUCUGAGAGGAUGAUCAGUCACACGGGAACUGAGACACGGUCCAGACUCCUACGAGAGGCAGCAGUGGGGAAUAUUGGACAAUGGUCGAAAGCCUGAUCCAGCCAUGCCGCGUGUGUGAAGAAGGUCUUCGGAUUGUAAAGCACUUUAAGUUGGGAGGAAGGGCAGUAAGUUAAUACCUUGCUGUUUUGACGUUACCAACAGAAUAAGCACCGGCUAACUUCGUG
rnacentral:rRNA from 1 species